UGGGGAAUUUUGGACAAUGGGGGAAACCCUGAUCCAGCCAUCCCGCGUGUGCGAUGAAGGCCUUCGGGUUGUAAAGCACUUUUGGCAGGAAAGAAACGUCAUGGGUUAAUACCCCGUGAAACUGACGGUACCUGCAGAAUAAGCACCGGCUAACUACGUGCCAGCAGCCGCGGUAAUACGCAGGGUGCAAGCGUUAAUCGGAAUUACUGGGCGUAAAGCGUGCGCAGGCGGUUCGGAAAGAAAGAUGUGAAAUCCCAGAGCUCAACUUUGGAACUGCAUUUUUAACUACCGGGCUAGAGUGUGUCAGAGGGAGGUGGAAUUCCGCGUGUAGCAGUGAAAUGCGUAGAUAUGCGGAGGAACACCGAUGGAGAAGGCAGCCUCCUGGGAUAACACUGACGCUCAUGCACGAAAGCGUGGGGAGCAAACAGG
rnacentral:rRNA from 1 species